rnacentral:rRNA from 1 species
GACGAACGCUGGCGGCGUGCUUAACACAUGCAAGUCGAACGGAAAGGCCCUGCUCUUGUGGGGUGCUCGAGUGGCGAACGGGUGAGUAACACGUGUGUAACCUGCCCUUGACUUUGGGAUAACUUCAGGAAACUGGGGCUCAUACCGGAUAGGAGAUCCUGAUGCACGGUGGGGGUAGGAAAGUUUCGGCGGUGGUGGCUGGACUCGCGGGUUAUCCGCUUCUUGGUGGGGUAGUGGCUUACCAAGCCUUUGACGGGUAGCCGGCCUUAGAGGGUGACCGGCCACAUUGGGCCUGAGAUACGGCCCAGACUCCUACGGGAGGCAGCAGUGGGGAAUAUUGCACAAUGGGCGGAAGCCUGAUGCAGCAACGCCGCGUGCGGGAUGACGGCCUUCGAGUUGUAAACCGCUUUCGCCUGUGACGAAGCGUGAGUGACGGUAAUGGGUAAAGAAGCACCGGCUAACUACGUG